rnacentral:rRNA from 1 species
UACAGAGGAUGCAAGCGUUAUCCGGAAUGAUUGGGCGUAAAGCGUCUGUAGGUGGCUUUUUAAGUCCGCCGUCAAAUCCCAGGGCUCAACUCUGGACAGGCGGUGGAAACUACCAAGCUGGAGUACGGUAGGGGCAGAGGGAAUUUCCGGUGGAGCGGUGAAAUGCGCAGAUAUCGGGAAGAACACCCGUGGCGAAGGCGGUUCUCUGGGACGGUACUGACGCUGAGACGCGAAAGCGUGGGGAGCGAACAGG